rnacentral:lncRNA from 1 species
GGGCGAGCCGCUGAGGCCAGGCUGACGUAGGGCCUUUGCCGAGAGCUGGACGGGGUGGGGAGGAGCCUGAGGAGCAGCGAGGAUUCACAUAGGUGGAGCGCGGACUGCUAGUCACGUGUUCGGCGUGAGGUUGCCUGGGGCGUGGGUGGGGCGCGCCGGCGCGCAGGCCCUCCCUGACUGACGCAGGCGCAGAGACCGCAGCGCGGGGCUGGGGGCGGAUCAGGCCUAGCGAGGGCCUCGCGCCUGGGCCGUGGGCGAGCCGUGGAGAGGCCCCGAGGUGUGGGAGUCCGUCCCCAGGCGGCAGUGGCGGCUCCUGGACGCUCCUUCCCAUUUUCUUUCCUUUCCCCCCAGUCUUCUCAGUGUGAUUUUCUUGACUCCGUUUUUUUGCUAAGAUUGACUUUGCCUCAGCAUCAACAAACUCUUCAUCUAAGAUUGGUUCCUGUGUGUCAUAUAUUUACAAGUCAGUGGAAAUUACAAGUCAGCACAUACAAGCUGAAAAGCCAAAUAAAGAAAUGUAAUCCUUCUCUUGACAGUUCUAAUUUAACUUGGCUAAAGCCAGUUUUUAGGUUGACUUG